rnacentral:rRNA from 1 species
UGCCAGCAGCCGCGGUAAUACUGAAGGUGCAAGCGUUAAUCGGAAUUACUGGGCGUAAAGCGCACGUAGGCGGAUUAGAAAGCUAGAGGUGAAAUCCCAGGGCUCAACCCUGGAACUGCCUUUAGAACUACUAGUCUAGAGUUCGAGAGAGGUGAGUGGAAUUCCAAGUGUAGAGGUGAAAUUCGUAGAUAUUUGGAGGAACACCAGUGGCGAAGGCGGCUCACUGGCUCGAUACUGACGCUGAGGUGCGAAAGUGUGGGGAGCAAACAGGAUUAGAUA